GGAAGUAAAGCUCAGUGGUAGAGUGUGUGCUUAGAAUGCACUAGGCUCUGGGUUCAAACCCUAGCAACCA
rfam:Ictidomys tridecemlineatus contig089700, whole genome shotgun sequence.